CUGAACCAGCCAAGUAGCGUGAAGGAUGACUGCCCUAUGGGUUGUAAACUUCUUUUAUACGGGAAUAAAGUUAGGCACGUGUGCCUUUUUGUAUGUACCGUAUGAAUAAGGAUCGGCUAACUCCGUGCCAGCAGCCGCGGUAAUACGGAGGAUCCGAGCGUUAUCCGGAUUUAUUGGGUUUAAAGGGAGCGUAGGUGGAUGCUUAAGUCAGUUGUGAAAGUUUGCGG
rnacentral:rRNA from 1 species